GGGCCCGCACAAGCAGCGGAGCGUGUGGUUUAAUUCGAGGCUACACGAAGAACCUUACCUGGGUUUGACAUAUAAGUAGUAGUGAAGCGAAAGCGGAACGACCUUCGGGAGCUUAUACAGGUGCUGCAUGGCUGUCGUCAGCUCGUGCCGUGAGGUGUUCGGUUAAGUCCGCAAACGAGCGCAACCCUCGGCGUUAGUUACAAGUGUCUAACGCAACUGCCCGUGAGAAACGGGAGGAAGGUGGGGAUGACGUCAAGUCAGCAUGGCCUUUAUAUCCAGGGCUACACACACGCUACAAUGGGCGGUACAACGGGUCGCGAAGCCGCGAGGCGGAGCCAAUCCAGAAAGCCGUUCGUAGUUCGGAUUGCAGGCUGCAACUCGCCUGCAUGAAGUCGGAGUUGCUAGUAACCGCAGGUCAGCUAUACUGCGGUGAAUACGUUCCCGGGCCUU
rnacentral:rRNA from 1 species